rnacentral:tRNA from 1 species
GGAGAUGGGUUCCCGAGCGGCCCAGGGAACCGUCUUGAAAACCGUCGUGGCAGCGAUGUCACCGUGGGUUCAAAUCCCACCGCCUCCGC